rnacentral:rRNA from 1 species
CACGUAGGAGGCGAGCGUUGUCCGGAAUCAUUGGGCGUAAAGAGCGCGCAGGCGGCUUGGCAAGUCAGGUGUGAAAUCCCGGGGCUCAACCCCGUGACUGCAUUCGAUACUGCCAUGACUAGAGUUCGGUAGGGGAGUGUGGAAUUCCUGGUGGAGCGGUGAAAUGCGCAGAUAUCAGGAGGAACACCCGUAGCGAAGGCGGCACUCUGGGCCGGAACUGACGCUGAGGAGCGAAAGCGUGGGGAGCGAACAGG